rnacentral:rRNA from 1 species
GUCUACGGCCAUACCACGUUGAAAACACCAGUUCUCGUCCGAUCACUGAAGUUAAGCAACGUCGGGCUCGGUUAGUACUUGGGUGGGUGACCGCCUGGGAACACCGAGUGCAGUAGACG